rnacentral:tRNA from 3 species
GGAAGCAGAACUCGAGCGGUUUGAGUGUCUCCCUUUUAAGGAGAAAGUCCUGGUUCAAGUCCAGGUGCUUUCA